UAGAUACCCUGGUAGUCCACGCCGUAAACGAUGAGACUAGAUGUUAGGGGGCUUAGACCUUUUAGUAUCGCAGCAAACGCGUUAAGUUCUCCGCCUGGGGAGUACGGCCGCAAGGUUAAAACUCAAAUGAAUUGACGGGGGCCCGCACAAGCGGUGGAGCAUGUGGUUUAAUUCGAUGCAACGCGAAGAACCUUACCUACCUUUGAAUCCACGGAAUCUUGCAGAAAUGUGAGAGUGCCUUCGGGAACCG
rnacentral:rRNA from 1 species